CCUACGGGGGGCAGCAGUGGGGAAUAUUGCACAAUGGGGGAAACCCUGAUGCAGCGACGCCGCGUGAAGGACGAAGUAUUUCGGUACGUAAACUUCUAUCAGCAGGGAAGAAAAUGACGGUACCUGACCAAGAAGCCCCGUAUAACUACGUGCCAGCAGCCGCGGUAAUACGUAGGGGGCCAGCGUUAUCCGGAUUUACUGGGUGUAAAGGGAGCGUAUACGGCCAUGCAAGUCUGAUGUGAAAACCCUGGACGCAACCCCGGGACUGCAUGGGAAACUGUGCGGCUGGAGUGUCGGAGAGGCAAGUGGAAUUCGUAGUGUAGCGGUGAAAUGCGUAGAUAUUAGGAGGAACACCAGUGGCGAAGGCGGCUUGCUGGACGAAGACUGACGUUGAGGCUCGAAAGCGUGGGGAGCAAACAGGAUUAGAUACCCCGGUAGUC
rnacentral:rRNA from 1 species